GUCUCUGAUGAUGUUUAACUAUAUUAACUUUCGUUCUACUGAGAAAACAAUUAUGCGGAAUCCAUAUGGCGACCUGAACUGAGGAGAC
rfam:Citrus sinensis cultivar Ridge Pineapple sweet orange scaffold00058_contig_47, whole genome shotgun sequence.